rnacentral:lncRNA from 1 species
CACGUGCAUAUCAUUUUGACCAUAUUUAAGUUUGGAGAUGAUCUUACAAUUUAAUUGGGAGUUUAUUUGGACCUUAAGAGUGAUUAUAUGCAUUUGUUACAAUUUAUUUGAGCUGCAUAUGCAUUAAAAAUAGUUUUAUAAACUACAUUUCAUGAGGAAACUAUUUUUCCUAGCUUCCAAACAGGUAUAUAGAAUUUCAGGAAUUUUCUGGAAUUUUUCCGAUGCCGUUUGGUAUUUUAUCUGCCUUAUUUGAUUUUCUUGCAAUUUAGAGACCCAAAAAAAGCUAUUUCUUUAUUUGUUUUUCUUUUAUUCCGCGGAGUACGUUUUCUCUACACGGAGGCGUAUUUCUGUGAAACCCGUUUUCACUCAAGUGUACCAAAGGGGUAUCUUUUAAUCUCAUCCAUCCAUUUCCCAUCCAACGGCCAUCCUUCCUUUUUCCUUUUUCCUUUUCUUUUUUUUUCUUUUCUUCUUUCCUCCUUCUUCUUCCUCACGCACACAGGCACAGCCUAUUCUGGCUGCAUCCAUGGUCAAGCCCAGCCCGGCCGCCGCUGCUGCUCGCCGGCCCAGCCCCGCCGCCCUGGCUCCGCCCCUCGCCGCCGCCGCGCCGCAGCCCCG